rnacentral:rRNA from 1 species
AUUGAACGCUGGCGGCAGGCCUAACCCAUGCAAGUCGAGCGAGCGGCGGACGGGUGAGUAAUGUCUUGGAAACUGCCCGAUGGAGGGGGUUACCUACUGGAAACGGUAGCUAAUACCGCAUACCAUCAGAUGUGCCCAGGUGGGAUUAGCUAGUAGGUGGGGUAAUGGCUCACCUAGGCGACGAUCCCUAGCUGGUCUGAGAGGAUGACCAGCAACACUGGAACUGAGACACGGGCCAGAGUCCUACGGGAGGCAGCAGUGGGGAAUAUUGCACAAUGGGCGCAAGCCUGAUGAAGCCAUGCCGCGUGUAUGAAGAAGGCCUUCGGGUUGUAAAGUACUUGCAGCGAGGAGGCGUUACCCGCAGAAGAAGCACCGGCUAACUCCGUGCCAGCAGCCGCGGUAAUUC